UGCGUAGGUGGUCGGGUAAGUUUAAGGUGAAAGCUCCGGGCUCAACCCGGAAAUGGCCUUGAAUACUAUCCGGCUCGAGGGUUGGAGGGGGGACUGGAAUUCUCGGUGUAGCAGUGAAAUGCGUAGAUACCGAGAGGAACACCAGUGGCGAAGGCGAGUCCCUGGACAACACCUGGCACUGAGGCACGAAAGCUAGGGGAGCAAACG
rnacentral:rRNA from 1 species